rnacentral:rRNA from 1 species
UACGUAGGGGGCAAGCGUUGUCCGGAAUCAUUGGGCGUAAAGAGCGUGUAGGCGGCCCGAUAAGUCCGCCGUGAAAGCCCAGGGCUCAACCCUGGGAUGCCGGUGGAUACUGUCGGGCUAGAAUCCGGAAGAGGCGAGUGGAAUUCCUGGUGUAGCGGUGAAAUGCGCAGAGAUCGGCAGGAACACCCAGGGGGAAACCAGCCGACUGGGCACACGCUGACGCUGAGGUGCGAGAGCGUGGGGAGCAAACAGG